rnacentral:rRNA from 1 species
UCUCCACCCGAGACUCAGUGAAAUUGAACUCGCUGUGAAGAUGCAGUGUACCCGCGGCAAGACGGAAAGACCCCGUGAACCUUUACUAUAGCUUGACACUGAACAUUGAGCCUUGAUGUGUAGGAUAGGUGGGAGGCUUUGAAGUGUGGACGCCAGUCUGCAUGGAGCCGGCCUUGAAAUACCACCCUUUAAUGUUUGAUGUUCUAACGUGGACCCGUGAUCCGGGUUGCGGACAGUGUCUGGUGGGUAGUUUGACUGGGGCGGUCUCCUCCUAAAGAGUAACGGAGGAGCACGAAGGUUGGCUAAUCCUGGUCGGACAUCAGGAGGUUAGUGCAAUGGCAUAAGCCAGCUUGACUGCGAGCGUGACGGCGCGAGCAGGUGCGAAAGCAGGUCAUAGUGAUCCGGUGGUUCUGAAUGGAAGGGCCAUCGCUCAACGGAUAAAAGGUACUCCGGGGAUAACAGGCUGAUACCGCCCAAGAGUUCAUAUCGACGGCGGUGUUUGGCACCUCGAUGUCGGCUCAUCACAUCCUGGGGCUGAAGUAGGUCCCAAGGGUAUGGCUGUUCGCCAUUUAAAGUGGUACGCGAGCUGGGUUUAGAACGUCGUGAGACAGUUCGGUCCCUAUCUGCCGUGGGCGCUGGAGAACUGAGGGGGGCUGCUCCUAGUACGAGAGGACCGGAGUGGACGCAUCACUGGUGUUCGGGUUGUCAUGCCAAUGGCACUGCCCGGUAGCUAAAUGCGGAAGAGAUAAGUGCUGAAAGCAUCUAAGCACGAAACUUGCCCCGAGAUGAGUUCUCCCUGAGACUUUAGGUCUCCUGAAGGAACGUUGAAGACGACGACGUUGAUAGGCCGGGUGUGUAAGCGCAGCGAUGCGUUGAGCUAACCGGUACUAAUGAACCGUGAGGCUUAACCUU